UGUUCUGCACAGGGACAUGCUACUGUCUCUCUAGCUGAAAGAAGAUCCUUUCUACCUUCGAUUCAUUCCUUUUAUUUUAAAAAAGGUGAUUCAAACACUAUAAAUAGGUUGGCAGCCCUGGGGUCCAUGUUACCUCCACAACUGAGACAAUUGGAUGGAAAGCAUCUGAGGGCUAUACUUUAAUUGUUCAAAACUGGCUGUUUUAACAGAGUGAGAGGGGCCAUGCAUUCUCUCUCUUCCUCUUCACUGAAAAAAAAUUGGAGGGGAAUUGGGAGCACAUAAUUUUUGUGCUAGGUUUCAGGUUAGAUGUACAUACCACAGUGAAUACUGUACUGCCUAUUUUCUAUUGUCCAUGGGGAAACAACAGUGAAUUUCCAUGUCUAAAGGUGACCCUGCUGUUGGGCAAGGUAGUGGCAAGGGAUUUUGAGUUCUACCUACCCAUUAAAAAACCCCAAAACCAAAUAAUUACUAUUGGAUUCUUUUCUUUACUAUCAGGGAUACUGAGAUAUACUUGUGGGAUUUCUUUCUUGUGAACUAAAAUAAUUUGGCUGGUAUUAUGGCCUUUGAUUUGGGCAUGAGGCGAGAGACACUAUUUAAUUAUUGUGCCCUGGAAUAAAAAGUUUCAGCCCAGCUACGCUCCCAUCUGCACUGCUAUAUAAUGAGGUUUGAAACUGCAUUAUAUGGUCAGUGUAGGCUCACAUAACACAGUUUAACUGUACUGAACUAUAUUAUACUAGCGGUGCCCGGCCACGCAUUGCUGUGGCGAAGUAUGGUGAGACUGUACUGUAUAUUGAUAAUCUUAUAUUAUCUGCUUAGAACUGGAUUAUAUGAGGCCCCUUCUUCAUAGCUGUAUAAAAUGCACACUGAAGUGGAUUAUAUGGCAGUGUGGAGUCAAGAUAAUCCAGUUCAAAGCAGAUAAUAUAAGAUUCUAAAUGGGUUAUAUAGCUGUGUGGAAGGGCCUUCAGUCUACACUGCCAUAUAAUCCAGUGCAAAUUAGAUAAUCUGUGGAAGAGGCCUAAGUGAGGCCUAAAUCUGCCUGUCCCCUGGGCUGAGUAGGUUGCUAGGAGACCAAGUGGGCAGAGCUUAGCCUUCUAACUGGCAGCAAUUGGAUAAAAACAAUUAUUCCUCUCCCUCUAAUUAGAACUUUAUUUUUCUUUCUUUUUUUGUUGUAUCAACCUAGAGCCGUGGAUGAUGGGUCGUGUUGUCAGAUUUCGAGGUUGGGGGGGCCUGUAGUUUUGUUGUUUUGUUUGGUGCCCUGAUUCCAUCACUCUUUUAUAUAUAUAGAUGAUUCUACACAGACUAUAUAAUGCAGUGUCAAACUGCAGUAUAUGGCAAUAUAUGUGGGGCUUAUAGCUGUAUUUUCCUUCCUAGCCCUUCCCUCCUUGUAAUGUAUCAAGCCAAAGCCAAAGACCUUCUAAUGUGCUGAAAAACUUUUGAUGCAGAGAGGUCACGGCUACUGCUACUGUUUUUCCCAUAUACAAAUUAGUGCAAAAUGUGUUUUCCAGCUUGGCCUCUGAAAAUGAGAUCAUGCAUGUGGGCAUUAUGUACAUUACUAGACAUAUUUUUUCACUCAAAAUAACCAAUUCUAAAAGGCGUUUUCUAUAUAUGCAUAUGUCAUCGUCAUUUGAACAUUUUCUUGACUUGACAAAUCUAUCAGUACAUUUGGAAAGUGUAAAUUUUGGUAGAUAAUUAAGUCCUGUGAUAAUUAGUUUCUUCUCAGCAUGAUAGCAAGGAAAGAUCACACCAGGAAGAAAUAGCAAAUACACAAAUUUCUAAAGAACCUUUGCCUGAACAACAAUCUUGCUCCUUGCCAUUUCUUUUUAAAACCUAUCAUAUCUGAAAUAGCACACUAUCGAGAUUUUGUCAUCCAUUGAAGUUAGUGGGACAUGGGUUAGUCAUGGUUAAUAAAACACUAUGUAACAAAAUUUGAAAAUAAUUCUGUUCCUGGUUUAGAAGUGUUAUUUCCUGUUUAAUUGUGCAGUACUUACUUUUAAAGUAGUUGCUAUACUCCCGAAACUUUGCAUUUGUGGCUGCAAAGUAUGUUGAAUUGGUUGAGACUCUAUGAGAUAGUCAUUGAAAAACUGUAGCAAACUGUGCAACAGGAUGUCUCACAAAAACAAGGAGAAGAAUUAUAAUAUUGAUCACUCUCAUCUGCAAGGUUUGCAUUUCUAUUAAGAUCUCAGGAAUACCUAGCAUUUACAUUUACAUAUUAGCAGUAGGUGCUAGUAAAGAGCCAUGUCCUGAAAUCCUAUGUGAUGUUUGUAAAGUAUAAGAGGUGAUAAGCAAUGUUUUCAGAACAUUUACAUAAGACAUUUAACUCAAUUUCCAAUGACAAUAAGAGAUUAUUUUACACCUGAUAAAGUUGACAUGAUAGUGCCAUAAUCUUAUCAAGGGCUAUCUCUGUCCACUUGUUUACGUCCACCAGUUCUUUCAAAUGAAGGAGUUCAGGGAUUGCUUGUGUGCUGGGAAGGACAUUUAGUGGUAAGGGGUAAGGGUUUCAGUCAUAGGUUCAUGAUUGCGAAGAUAUAGCAAUUUCAAAUUGGGUUCAACUUUUUUAAAGAUCUUGGAGAUUGUAUUGUCAAAUCACUGGCUUGUUGUGUGGCAUCCAGGCUUUAUGGCUGUGUUCUAGCAGCAUUUUCUCCUGCAUCUGUGGCUGAAGAUCUGGUGGUAGUAAGGCCAGUGUGUAUAUACCUGUGGAAUGUCCAAGGUGGGUGAAAAGAACCAUUAAACAGGUGUAAAGUGUGCAAUUAAUAAGCUUGGAUGUGUGUGUGUGUGUUGAGUGAGAGCCACCCAUUGAUAUGUGAGUAACCAUGAGGAUAGCAUAGUCAGUUGGUGAGGGCAUCUGCAUAGAAGUAGCCUGGCUUUUGUUCCUUUUGAAUUGUUUGCUGCCUGGAGACAUCCUUUGUCUGGUUGGUGUUCACUGGCCCUAGUAGAUAUACUCCACUUGCAUUACUACCAUCACAUUCCCUGAAGAUGCCAGCCACAGAUGCAUUCAAAAUGUCAGGAGAAAAUACUGGUCAAUGCCAUACAGUCUGGAAACCACACAACACCCCAUCUUGUAGAUUGAAAUAUUAUGCCAUGCAUUAUGUAUCCUUCCCUUUAUUCUCCACUUUUUUCCAAUAAUUAGAAUGGACUUCUAGCGACUUCAAUCCAUGCUCCCAGAGGAUCCCAGGAGCAGAAAAUUGGCCUCUAGAUCACUGUAGAUAUGCACCAGCUUUGAACUGCAGCGUGUAAUUAAGAAUCCCUAAGGAGGAUUAGCAGAUCCUAAUAAGGCAUCUAUUCCGCCAAAAAGAAUUAUACCUCCUGUGUGAUGGAGACAGACUUGUACAGGAGAGAAGAGGGCCUGCAGGGAAAGCAAGAUGUGGGUGUAUUGAGGCCUUUGUGCCACAACGACAGGAAAGGCAUCAGCAACAACAAACGGCAAGUUGAAGGGCAUUGUUCAAUUGAAUGAACUCAAGUGCGAAACCUCAAAAGCUAUCCAUUUGGCCUCUCUUAAGUAUUGAGCAGAGGAACGUCAGCAUUGUCCUCAGCAAUGUUAACUAUAUAAGAGGGACUUUCAGCUGGUGCUGUUACUAGAGAUGUCAUUAUUAUCUUCUGAAUUCACUGCUAAAUCAGAAAAUAAAGCAGGCGUAGCUUUCCUCAUGUGGCUUCCUGUCAAACUUUUUUGACAUUUCUCUCAUCUACUAUGUGAUAUUCAAGGCAGAAUUGGUACCAAAAGGAUAUUCAGCAACACUGUAGACUUGAAAGGGGAUAUCCAGAGAGCCAAACCCAGCCCCUCAAAUAACAUUCAUCACAUUGGAUAGCUCCCUUAGAAAGUGGGCUAAAACCUGGAGCACAUCGCUGCCCUAGAGAUAUGGAAGCCACUUGCUAACACUUCUUCUUCCUGACCUGCUUUGUAGUCAGAAUACUAAUAAAUUAGAAUCAGAGGGAGGCAGCUGCUUCAAGUAGCAAAUACCUCACAGCAAUGUGGAAGUGGUUUGUAUUAGAGUUAGUUGGGGAGGAUAGUCAGAAAGAAGGGUCUUGACUUCAUCCCACAACUCUUUGGGUGCACAAGUAAAUAAUACAUAUAAUGACCCAUAUAUGACAUCUCUAUGAAUGACAUCAUCCCCUGGGACCCUCAGAGGCUCCAAUAAAAUCCCAAUGGAUCAUUACAUUUCAUUAUUUUGUAUCUAGAAAACCCAGUGCUGAAACAGACUGGGCAUCCCUAAAUUAGACUAUCAGAUUAAGAUCUGGCAAUCUCAUGUGUAUAUCCCAAUUCAGUAAUAAAACUAACUGGUUGGAUAUUUAUGGCAUAACAUACCUUAAAGAGUUUAUGCACAAGCAACAUAGCACACUGUUUUGCACACUGCACACUGUUUUGCACACUGCACACUGUUUUGAUCCUUAGGCGGAAAGUUGGGAUAUAAAAGAAAUACAUAGAUUUGGAAAAGCAGCAGCGAUAAUAAUAAUAAUAAUAAUAAUAAUAAUAAUAAUAAUAAUACAUAACAAUAAUGAUAAUAAUUUGAUACACAACAAGAUGAGUACACAGCAAAUAAGAUCACUAUGCUGGCUUUUGUAUUGCAUCACACAUCGGACACUUCCCAAUGUGAUGUAUCGGCAAAUAAUGAGUACAGAUCCGAGUAGGGUGGCCUUUUGCAGCUGAUAGAUGGUAAUUUUGUUAGCACCGAUUGUUUUCAAGUGCUGGCCAAGGUGUGCCGAUCACCACUGGGACCACCUUUAUUGGCUUGUGCCAGUCUUUUUAGUUCGAUCUUUAGAUCCUCGUAUCAUGUCAGCUUUUCCAGAUGCUUCUCUUCAAUCCUGCUGUCACCUGGGAUUGCAACAUCUACAAUCCAUACUUCAUUUUUAAUAUGAUUGUAAGGUAAGGAGUAUCAUGCUCAAAAACUAUGUCAGUCUGGAUUCAGAAGUCCCAGAGUAGUAGUAGUAGUAGUAGUAAUUAUUAUUAUUGACACAACAAUAUAGUAUGACACAGCAAACAAGAUAGAUAUGCUGGAUUUCAUAUCAAAAAAUCACAAGUCGAACACUCCCCAAGCGUUUAGGAUUGUGUGAUGUAUUUUCAGAUGAUGCGUGCAGAUCCCAGUAGGGUGGCUUUUUGUAGUUGGCAGAUCGUAAUUUUUUCAAUGUCUAUUGUUUCCAAAUGCUGGCUGAGAUCUUUUUACACGGUACCCAAUGUGCCGAUCACCAUCGGAACCACCUAUUAUUAUUAUUAUUAUUAUUAUUAUUAUUAUUAUUAUUAUUAUUAUUACUACUACUACUAUUAUUAUUAUUAUUGCUGCUGCUGCUGCUUUGCCAAAUCUAUGUGUUGUGGUGUCUAACAAAAAAUAACAAAAUGGCAAACAUUCAAUGUUGAAAACAGACAAAACAACAAAUCAAAGCAAAGCAAGCUUUGGGAUUCUUCAUGUUUUCCCCUUCUUAGGGGAGUCAAAGCAUCUUGCAGUAUAAUUAAACUAGAAGGAGUUUGAACUCUCAGAAUUUUGUUAUGAAGCUACCUCUCCAUGCUUCCCAGACCAAUAUACGAUCAAAAUGUAAUUGUGCUUCAGGUUUUUCAUUUACCUAGAUUUUAUGAAACAUUUAUUGGAAAAAAGCACCAAGCCACAUGUUUUGAAAUGUGUAUUUUGGAAUAAAGUACAUUUCGAAAUGCAUAUUUUAAAAUGAAAAAUGUCUGUGAAUGUUUUGCGGAAAAAGUGUUCAAAAUUACUUAUUUACAUGGAAUCCCCUACAGAAUCUCUUUCCAGGAGAUAUACAGCUGAUUCCAUAUGUUGUUGUUUUUAAAGGCUGUUAAAACUGAUUGGUUUUGUUUGGCUUCUAAAUUAAAGUUAUAUAUACUUUCUAAUAUAAAUGGUUCCGCGUAUGUUUAAGUUUUGAAUUUGACUUCUUUUGAGUAGUUCUAUCUUUAUAUACACACACACACACACACACACACACACACACACACACACACAGCAAACUUGAUUUAUGAAUUUUUGAGCUUAUGAUAUUGAUAUUGAAUUGUAUGCUUCUCCCCCAAGUGUUUGUGGGAAGACUGCAGCUCUGAGAGGUAGCUAAGAAAUGCAUUAAACCCAAUCAAUCAGUCCCUAUGCAUCUAAACAUUAAUUUUCAGCUGGAAUGAAAACAACCCACAGAUUCAUAUAGGAGCAAGGUGGAAUGGGUUCAAGAAUGAACUCAUACAAAAUUGGCAUGGACUGGAAAUAGAGUUAUUGACCUGUUCUCCUAUAUAACUGAUCUUCUUUAAUUUCUUAGCUACACAAAGGUUUGAAAGGCUGUGGACACACAAGUUACUUUUCUUGACUGGAUUGUAAAGCAUAUCCACAAAUGUUCUCAUCCUUGUUUUUUCUGAAAAGGGCCUUCAAUCAUACAUUGGGGAAUGGAGGAAAGGGACAACUUAAGACAUACAAAAGCAUUUAGGACAUUGGGGGGGGGGGAUAAAAUAGAGAACAAAAAUUAUUAAGGUCCUAUCUAGACUGCCAUAUAAUGCAGAUUGAAACUAUAUUAUACUAUACUGGUAAACAGCUGCUGCAAUAAAUCACUCUGACCAUGAGGUCAUGAGUUCGAGGCCAGCCCGUGGCGGGGUGAGCACCCAUCAAUUAAAAAUAAAAUAUAGCCCCUGCUCGUUGCUGACCUAGCAACCCGAAAGAUAAUUGCAUCUAUCAAGUAGGAAAUAAGGUACCACUUAUAAAAGUGGGGAGGCAAGUUUAACUAAUUUACAACAUUGGAAUGAGGAAGUGAGGAAGUGCCAUCAGAGUGGAUGAUGAAGCAGCUGCUCCCCCCUGUGGCCAGAAUCGAACAUCCCCUCAGGAGAAGGUUAAAUUGCCUCUGCGUCUGUCUGUCUGUCUGUCUGUCUCUGUCUCAGUUCGAUGUGUUUAUGGGCAUUGAAUGUUUUCCCUAUAUGUACAUAAUGUGAUCUGCCCUGAAUCCCCUUUGGGGUGAGAAGGGCGGAAUAUAAAUACUGUAAAUAAAUAAAUAAAUAGUUAGCAUAGACCAGUGGUUCUCAAUCUGUGAGUCCCCAGAUAUUUUGGCUUUCAACUCCCAGAAAUCCUAACAGCUGGUAAACUUGUGUUGUCGAAGGCUAUAAUGGCCGGGAACACAGGGUUGUUGUAUGUCUUUUGGGCUGUGUGGCCAUGUUCCAGAAGUAUUCUCUCCUGACGUUUCGCCCACAUCUAUGGCAGGCAUCCUCUGAGUAUGCCUGCCAUAGAUGUAGGCAAAACGUCAGGAGAGAAUACUUCUGGAACAUGGCCACACAGCCCAAAAGACAUACAACAACCCAGCUGGUAAACUGGUUGGGUUUUCUGGGAGUUGUAGGCCAAAAACACCUGGGGACCCCAAGAUGAAAACCACUGGUGUAGACUCAUAUAAUGCAGUUUAACUGCACUGGCUAUAUUGGAUUAUAUGGCAGUGCAGAUGGUGCCUAUAUCUAGUAGUCUACUGCUAGAAUUUAGCAUAGACCAAAUGAACUAAAAGGAUUUAUCUACACAU